rnacentral:lncRNA from 1 species
UGCACAAAAUCAAUGAGGACUUUGGUACAACAGAAAGUGUUAAGUUUGUGACCUUCGCUAGAUUGCUCUGGUCACUAGUAUGGAUAAGUAUGUAAAUGGAUAGAGAUAGGGAAGCAAACACAAGAUGUACGUGGUUCACCUAGAUUGGCUACGUCCACGGAGUAGAAGAGUUCUCAUUAAUUGUGAAGGGUUUACACAAGUACA